rnacentral:rRNA from 1 species
CCGUUAUAACCGGCGAUUUCCGAAUGGGGAAACCCAGUGUGUUUCGACACACUAUCAUUAACUGAAUCCAUAGGUUAAUGAGGCGAACCGGGGGAACUGAAACAUCUAAGUACCCCGAGGAAAAGAAAUCAACCGAGAUUCCCCCAGUAGCGGCGAGCGAACGGGGAGGAGCCCAGAGCCUGAAUCAGUGUGUGUGUUAGUGGAAGCGUCUGGAAAGGCGUGCGAUACAGGGUGACAGCCCCGUACACAAAAAUGCACAUAUUGUGAGCUCGAUGAGUAGGGCGGGACACGUGGUAUCCUGUCUGAAUAUGGGGGGACCAUCCUCCAAGGCUAAAUACUCCUGACUGACCGAUAGUGAACCAGUACCGUGAGGGAAAGGCGAAAAGAACCCCGGCGAGGGGAGUGAAAAAGAACCUGAAACCGUGUACGUACAAGCAGUGGGAGCCUCUUAAUGGGGUGACUGCGUACCUUUUGUAUAAUGGGUCAGCGACUUAUAUUCUGUAGCAAGGUUAACCGAAUAGGGGAGCCGAAGGGAAACCGAGUCUUAACUGGGCGUUAAGUUGCAGGGUAUAGACCCGAAACCCGGUGAUCUAGCCAUGGGCAGGUUGAAGGUUGGGUAACACUAACUGGAGGACCGAACCGACUAAUGUUGAAAAAUUAGCGGAUGACUUGUGGCUGGGGGUGAAAGGCCAAUCAAACCGGGAGAUAGCUGGUUCUCCCCGAAAGCUAUUUAGGUAGCGCCUCGUGAAUUCAUCUCCGGGGGUAGAGCACUGUUUCGGCAAGGGGGUCAUCCCGACUUACCAACCCGAUGCAAACUGCGAAUACCGGAGAAUGUUAUCACGGGAGACACACGGCGGGUGCUAACGUCCGUCGUGAAGAGGGAAACAACCCAGACCGCCAGCUAAGGUCCCAAAGUCAUGGUUAAGUGGGAAACGAUGUGGGAAGGCCCAGACAGCCAGGAUGUUGGCUUAGAAGCAGCCAUCAUUUAAAGAAAGCGUAAUAGCUCACUGGUCGAGUCGGCCUGCGCGGAAGAUGUAACGGGGCUAAACCAUGCACCGAAGCUGCGGCAGCGACACUAUGUGUUGUUGGGUAGGGGAGCGUUCUGUAAGCCUGUGAAGGUGGCCUGUGAGGGUUGCUGGAGGUAUCAGAAGUGCGAAUGCUGACAUAAGUAACGAUAAAGCGGGUGAAAAGCCCGCUCGCCGGAAGACCAAGGGUUCCUGUCCAACGUUAAUCGGGGCAGGGUGAGUCGACCCCUAAGGCGAGGCCGAAAGGCGUAGUCGAUGGGAAACAGGUUAAUAUUCCUGUACUUGGUGUUACUGCGAAGGGGGGACGGAGAAGGCUAUGUUGGCCGGGCGACGGUUGUCCCGGUUUAAGCGUGUAGGCUGGUUUUCCAGGCAAAUCCGGAAAACCAAGGCUGAGGCGUGAUGACGAGGCACUACGGUGCUGAAGCGACAAAUGCCCUGCUUCCAGGAAAAGCCUCUAAGCAUCAGGUAACAUCAAAUCGUACCCCAAACCGACACAGGUGGUCAGGUAGAGAAUACCAAGGCGCUUGAGAGAACUCGGGUGAAGGAACUAGGCAAAAUGGUGCCGUAACUUCGGGAGAAGGCACGCUGAUAUGUAGGUGAAGCGACUUGCUCGUGGAGCUGAAAUCAGUCGAAGAUACCAGCUGGCUGCAACUGUUUAUUAAAAACACAGCACUGUGCAAACACGAAAGUGGACGUAUACGGUGUGACGCCUGCCCGGUGCCGGAAGGUUAAUUGAUGGGGUUAGCGGUAACGCGAAGCUCUUGAUCGAAGCCCCGGUAAACGGCGGCCGUAACUAUAACGGUCCUAAGGUAGCGAAAUUCCUUGUCGGGUAAGUUCCGACCUGCACGAAUGGCGUAAUGAUGGCCAGGCUGUCUCCACCCGAGACUCAGUGAAAUUGAACUCGCUGUGAAGAUGCAGUGUACCCGCGGCAAGACGGAAAGACCCCGUGAACCUUUACUAUAGCUUGACACUGAACAUUGAGCCUUGAUGUGUAGGAUAGGUGGGAGGCUUUGAAGUGUGGACGCCAGUCUGCAUGGAGCCGACCUUGAAAUACCACCCUUUAAUGUUUGAUGUUCUAACGUUGGCCCGUAAUCCGGGUUGCGGACAGUGUCUGGUGGGUAGUUUGACUGGGGCGGUCUCCUCCUAAAGAGUAACGGAGGAGCACGAAGGUUGGCUAAUCCUGGUCGGACAUCAGGAGGUUAGUGCAAUGGCAUAAGCCAGCUUGACUGCGAGCGUGACGGCGCGAGCAGGUGCGAAAGCAGGUCAUAGUGAUCCGGUGGUUCUGAAUGGAAGGGCCAUCGCUCAACGGAUAAAAGGUACUCCGGGGAUAACAGGCUGAUACCGCCCAAGAGUUCAUAUCGACGGCGGUGUUUGGCACCUCGAUGUCGGCUCAUCACAUCCUGGGGCUGAAGUAGGUCCCAAGGGUAUGGCUGUUCGCCAUUUAAAGUGGUACGCGAGCUGGGUUUAGAACGUCGUGAGACAGUUCGGUCCCUAUCUGCCGUGGGCGCUGGAGAACUGAGGGGGGCUGCUCCUAGUACGAGAGGACCGGAGUGGACGCAUCACUGGUGUUCGGGUUGUCAUGCCAAUGGCACUGCCCGGUAGCUAAAUGCGGAAGAGAUAAGUGCUGAAAGCAUCUAAGCACGAAACUUGCCCCGAGAUGAGUUCUCCCUGAGACUUAGAGUCUCCUGAAGGAACGUUGAAGACGACGACGUUGAUAGGCCGGGUGUGUAAGCGCAGCGAUGCGUUGAGCUAACCGGUACUAAUGAACCGUGAGGCUUAACCUUACAACGCCGAAG